CAAACAAAAAUAAAAUAUUUGCAAAUAAAAUCAAUUUAAAAGAAGAUUUCAAAAAGAAAAGCAAUAUAAUAUAAAUAACAAAAUGCAAGAUCCUAAACUUAAUGAAAAUGCCAAAGAAUUGGUGAACAAUGUCAAAUUUGAAAAGGAAAAUGUUGGUUGCUGCUGAAUAUUUUAAAACAAAGAAACAAUAAAAUGGACAACAAAACUAUAUGGAGGUUUCUUGUUAUUGAAGAUGAUAAGGACCUUUUAGCAGUGCGUUCAAAAUUAUAUAUGGUGGCAAUUGUAAUGGGAUAUAAUAUUAUCUAUGGUUGGAUUUAUAUGACAUGGCUAAUCAUACAAAUAUUAUUGAUGUCAGCACCAGCAUUUUUGUUUAAAUACAUUUCUUUAAAAUAUGUUGUAUAAAGCAUUUAUAAUUUUAAUUGUUUUUGUUUGUUUAAUUGUUAAUAUCCAAAUUAUUUGUUAUUUUGUAACUAAUAUCAAUCUUUGUUCUUUAACAUGUAACAUUUUGAAAGGGAAUUUUUUCAUAAA